UGUGCUGUUUGAUGAAGCAUCUUCAAUAUUUUGGAAGAUAUCGCGAGAUAUGCCUUCUUUUAUAUAUGCAACUCAAAUAAAUAUUGUUGUUGCAUCAAUGGUGCUUGCACAAUUAUAUUUGAAGAAAUUCAAGAUUGAUCCAGCUUUUAUAAGAAUGGAUCAAGAUCCUAAAUUUGUAGCUUCGGAUAUUUUCAAGAUAUUGAAGAUGCUUCAAUCAAACAGCACAACCACUAUUGAACAUUUGAUUAGAGCACUUUCAAUUACUAUUUAUUAUGCAAGCAUUACAACGUGGGAGGACGAGGCAGCUUCCCUUGCGCUUACUUGGGGACAGUGCUUUGAUUAUGUCCCAAGCAAAGUGAAUGCUUGGAGCAACAUCUCAUGUACAGGAAACUUCUACUGCUAAACUCUUUUUAACUCCCCUGCAUGGAUCCCCAAGUGUAUUGAUCGACACGCCAAUGCUACAACUCUUUGAUCCAACACAAGCCUUCUGCACAAUGGAAAGAGCAUUACUGCUGCUGCAUUGGCCAUGGCUAAAACUCCCACAAGUUCCAUGUGGGGUUCCAAAGCUUGCAAACUUGAUUGAAGAAAUGACCUGAUUAGGAUGUGGGCAUUCCAGUGAUAGUACAGGUCCUGAUUUUUUUCCUGCUUCUGAAUCUGUGUUCCACAUAUCUACAGGUAAUGGGUGGGACUCUGAAACGUGCGAGCACAAACUUCCAAUCUGUUUUGCAGCAAAAACUAUCUGUCUCGGAUCCCCACCCACUUCCUCAAACAAUACAAGAGUGUUGUCACUUGAUUUCACCCAUGAACGAGGUACAUGGUACAAUGUCUGAGAAGGCUUUGCACAGUUUUUCCGGCACUUUUUUGAAUUGUAAGGUCCUCUGUAAUUGCAAGAGUCAGUGCAACCACUAUUUGGAGACACAUUGGUUGGCCAAUAACGUCCAAUGCUAUGUCCAUUCACCCAUGCCUCACCCUUUCCCAUUCCUGUGAAAUCAAUUGCAACAGGAUCGUCGCCACCAGGUGCAUUGAAACUGGUCUUGUACCAUAUCAAAGACUGCUUAGUAGGCAAGUUAGGCUGUGAAAUCCAUUGUGAAGAACUUCCACUAGGAAGACUUAAUUCUUCACCUUGAAGUCCAAUCUGAUAUGUCCACUGCUGUGAAGAAAGAUCAACAGUAGUGCCAUUUUGCCCUACCAGCUUUACUGGACCAGUUAUUCCAGCACCAAUUGAAUCAUAAAAAGCUCCAUAAUUAGAUAGUCCAACAGUCAAACUUAGGAGAUCAAUAGUGUUCUUCCCAGGUAUAACUAUGAUGGGAAUAUCGACUGAAACCUUGGCACUGCUCUUGCCUGUUCCGCUCCCUGCAAGUUUCCCAUUAACAAAAACAUGAAGAGCGUGGCCAAGAGAAUCUACAUGAAGAACAGUUUGAGAACCAUCUUCAAGGAAGGGCUCAUCACCUUUUAUAUUAGUGCUUAAUGAGUACCAUAAGUAGUCACUUUUAUCGGCUGUAGUGUUUAUUUGCUCCAAUAGUCCAGAUUUCACAAAUGCAUCCUUCUUUGAGAUGCCCACUGGUUCAGUUAUCCAACUCCAGCCAAAGCUGAGAGCCUUGGAGGAAGCAACAUCACCCACCAGAGAUUGACGAGUGAAGCUCGUAAUAACAUUCACAGAGUUAAUCUUUGCAGUAUUGAGAGCUACAUUCUUGCAGUCUGGUAAGAUGCUCACCGACCAGGCAGGCAAAAUAUAUGAGUUUCCAUUGAAAGUUACUGUUUUGUCGGAAGUAGCAAUAUUGGCAAGAAAAGCAGCACAUAAUCCUGAUCCUGUUUUAUAGACUGUUGCCUCCAAGUUUGAACCUAGAGAAGUAGUUGUUGGUUCAGUUGCUAUCAAUGCUUCUUCACAAAGCUUUAUGGCCUUAUGAAGAUCUUUCAGGUGGCCCCACUUAGGUUGUCUAAGAAGUCCAUAUUCAUCAAGAGGGGCAUCAUAAUCAUAACUUGUAGAAAUAAAGGGUCCACCACUAGUCCUGCCAAAGUUAGUACCACCAUGAUACAUAUAAUAGUUUUGGAAAGUUCCCCCUAGCUGGUAAAAUCGUGCGACAGCAAAUGCGAGGUCUUCAACAGGUCUGUAGGGAAUAGCACCACCAAAGGAUAGAAACCACCCACUCCAAUUCUCAGUCCACAUUUUGGGUUUGUUCUUGGAAUUUGGGAUAAAUUGGUCACAGUAGAAUCCAUUGCAGGUGUUUAUAAUAGGAUCAGGAGCAUCUGCUUGCUGGCACAUGACCCAGGGCACACCAGUAUCAAGAGAUACAGCCAUUUUUGCUGCCCAAUUAAUAUAGAUCGUAGCAGCAGGACCAAAUGCUGAAUCAAUGUUCCCAUACUCAUUUUCA
rnacentral:misc_RNA from 1 species